GUGAGUCAUCGAAUCUUUGAACGCACCUUGCGCUCCUUGGUAUUCCGAGGAGCAUGCCUGUUUGAGUGUCAUUAAUAUAUCAAUCAACCUUCUCUUUUUGAGUGGUUGGAUGUGGGGGUUUGCUGGCCUUGUAAAGGGUUCAGCUCCCCUGAAAUGCAUUAGCAGAACAACCCUGUUCAUUGGUGUGAUAACUAUCUACGCUAUUGAAUGUAAGGGGCAGUUCAGCUUUCUAACAGUCCUCGGACAAUUCAUCAUUAAUGUGACCUCAAAUCAGGUAGGACUACCCGCUGAACUUAAGCAUAUCAAUAAGCGGAGG
rnacentral:rRNA from 1 species